rnacentral:tRNA from 1 species
GCGGGUGUGGUUCAAUGGUAGAAUGCGACCUUGCCAAGGUCGAGACGAGGGUUCGAUUCCCUUCACCCGCU